rnacentral:ncRNA from 1 species
UUACCAAAGGAAUCCAUACCGUCGGCUUGUUGAUCCGGGAUCGCCCAGGAUCGGGUGGAAGGUCGGAGAAGCCAGUCUUCAGUGGUGCUUCCAUGGCAGUUGGAUAGUAGAUCAGAGAGGCAGGCCGGCUAACUCCGUGCCAGCAGCCGUGGUAAGACGGGGGGGGGGCAAGUUUUCUUCGGCGUAAAGGGCACGUAGGCGGUGAAUCAGGUUGAAAGUGAAAGUCGCCAAAAAGUGGCGGAAUGCUCUCGAAACCAAUUCACUUGAUAAUCUGGUUCCACCUCUUUACUAGAUAGCCAUAAGCAAGAUUUCUAUAACUGACC